rnacentral:ribozyme from 1 species
AGUACUCGGCGUUCUGUUAAUGGGGUACGAUCCGAGACUCCUUUCGGGGUUACACAGGCUCUCCUACCCAUUUCCUAUUCCGUCACGUCAUCGUCGUACAGAGUGGUAACUUUUCCCACCACAUAUCCAAGCUUGGGUACACGGGCCUGUCCCAACCCCUUAGGCGGAUGGUGGAGUAAGGCUAAACAGGAGGGA